CGCUUUCCCAGUCCCAUCGUGGCUCACGCUGCUAACAGGAUGCCCGUGUGCUUUGCUGUGCGGGGAAUUGCUCCUGAAGGACGAGGAGAUGCCAACAGCACUGGGAGAAGGGAAAUGGAAUACCUGAUGAAUUUAUGCUUGAUACAGCAGGAGAGAUUCAGCUGGGAACCAGCCUGCUGCUGCUCGGCUCUUCCUGCAAAUUAAAGCACCCAGCUACAUCA